UUAGGAUGGACCCGCGGUGCAUUAGUUAGUUGGUGAGGUAAAGGCUCACCAAGACCGUGAUGCAUAGCCGACCUGAGAGGGUAAUCGGCCACACUGGGACUGAGACACGGCCCAGACUCCUACGGGAGGCAGCAGUAGGGAAUCUUCCACAAUGGACGAAAGUCUGAUGGAGCAACGCCGCGUGAGUGAAGAAGGUUUUCGGAUCGUAAAACUCUGUUGUUGGAGAAGAACGUAUUUGAUAGUAACUGAUCAGGU
rnacentral:rRNA from 1 species